rnacentral:rRNA from 1 species
GUGGAGCAAUCCAUGAGUAGAGUGGCAAACGGGUGAGUAACGCGUGGGCGACCUACCUCGAAGUGGGGGAUAACCUUCCGAAAGGAGGGCUAAUACCGCAUGACAUCCCAUGUUUGGAUACAUGGACAUCAAAGCCGGGGAUCGCAAGACCUGGCGCUUCAAGAGGGGCCCGCGUCCGAUUAGCUAGUUGGUGAGGUAACGGCUCACCAAGGCUCCGAUCGGUAUCCGGCCUGAGAGGGCGGACGGACACACUGGAACUGAGACACGGUCCAGACUCCUACGGGAGGCAGCAGUGGGGAAUUGUUCGCAAUGGGCGCAAGCCUGACGACGCAACGCCGCGUGGAGGAUGAAGACUUUCGGGUCGUAAACUCCUUUCGACCGAGAUGAAUGUCCUUCGACCUAACACGUCGAAGGAGUGACAGUAUCGAGGGAAGAAGCCCCGGCUAACUCCGUGCCAGCAGCCGCGGUAAUACGGGGGGGGCAAGCGUUGUUCGGAAUUACUGGGCGUAAAGGGUUCGUAGGUGGCUCGCUAAGUCAGACGUGAAAUCCCUCAGCUUAACUGGGGAACUGCGUCUGAGACUGGCGAGCUCGAGUGCAGGAGAGGAACGCGGAAUUCCAGGUGUAGCGGUGAAAUGCGUAGAUAUCUGGAGGAACACCGGUGGCGAAGGCGGCGUUCUGGACUGCAACUGACACUGAGGAACGAAAGCCAGGGUAGCAAACGGGAUUAGAUACCCCGGUAGUCCUGGCCCUAAACGAUGAAUGCUUGGUGUGGCGGGUAUCGAUCCCUG